rnacentral:rRNA from 1 species
CCCGCUGAACUUAAGCAUAUCACUAAGCGGAGGAAAAGAAAUUAACUAAGAUUGCCUCAGUAACGGCGAGUGAAGCGGCAAAAGCCCAAACUGGAAAUCUUCACACUGUGUGUGACGAAUUGUAAUCUACAGGUGGGAAGCUCAAUUGGUGGUGGCGCAGAAGUUCCUACGAACAGGACGCCAGAGAGGGUGACAGCCCCGUAUGUGGUGCCGCUGCCUAACGAGCUCCUUUCUAAGAGUCGGGUUGUUUUGAAUUGCAGCCCUAAGCUGGAGAUAGACUUCUUCUAAGGCUAAAUAUUUAUGGGAAACCGAUAGCGAACAAGUACUGUGAAGGAAAGAUGAAAAGAACUUUGAAAAGAGAGUCAAAAGACUUGAAAUCGUUGAGAAGGAAGCGGUAGAAAUUUAUUCUUCGGCGUAGAACAAAGGUGUUUGCCUAACCAUUGGCUCAUUCAGCACUGAAAGGGCUGCUUGUUCCAUCUGGGGAAGCGAUAGCUGAGUUCUUAGCUGUGAGGCAAGAUGAGGUGCUACAUCCACAAAAGCUUCAUUACUAGGGUUUCCCACGGUAAAGUGUGCUGGUGGGCGUGGUGCCUGAGGGUGCUUCGUGCGAUCUUGCUAAAAUGGUUUUUACCGACCCGUCUUGAAACACGG